rnacentral:rRNA from 1 species
AUGNGCGNCUAACAUGCAGUCGAACGAUGAACCACUUCGGUGGGGAUUAGUGGCGAACGGGUGAGUAACACGUUGGGCAAUCUGCCCUGCACUCUGGGACAAGCCCUGGAAACGGGGUCUAAUACCGGAUACUGACCCGCCUGGGCAUCCAGGCGGUUCGAAAGCUCCGGCGGUGCAGGAUGAGCCCGCGGCCUAUCAGCUUGUUGGUGAGGUAACGGCUCACCAAGGCGACGACGGGUAGCCGGCCUGAGAGGGCGACCGGCCACACUGGGACUGAGACACGGCCCAGACUCCUACGGGAGGCAGCAGA